UACAGGGGGUGCAAGCGUUGUUCGGAAUUAUUGGGCGUAAAGGGAGUGUAGGCGGCAUGCAUAGUCUUCUGUGAAAUCUACGGGCUUACCCCGUAACGUGCAGAGGAUACUGGCAAGCUAGAGUGUCGGAGAGGAUAGUGGAAUUCCAGGUGUAGAGGUGAAAUUCGUAGAGAUCUGGAGGAACACCAGUGGCGAAGGCGACUAUCUGGCUGACAACUGACGCUGAGACUCGAAAGCAUGGGGAGCAAACAGG
rnacentral:rRNA from 1 species